rnacentral:rRNA from 1 species
CCUACGGGGUGCUGCAGUGGGGGAUAUUGCACAAUGGGGGGAACCCUGAUGCAGCGACGCCGCGUGGGUGAAGGAGUGCUUCGGCAUGUAAAGCCCUAUCGGCAGGGAAGAAGCAAGACGGUACCGGACCAAGAAGCGCCGGCUAACUACGAGCCAGCAGCCGCGGUAAUACGUAGGGGGCGAGCGUUAGCCGGAUUCACUGGGUGGACAGGGAGCGUAGAUGGCGAUGCAAGCCAGGGGUGAAAGCCCGGGGCCCAACCCGGGUACUGCCCUAGGAAAUGUCCGGCUAGAGUGCGGGAGGGGCGGGCGGAAUUCCUGGUGUAGCGGUGAAAUGCGUAGAUAUCAGGAGGAACACCGGCGGCGAAGGCAGCCUGCUGGACCGCGACUGACGUUGAGGCUCGAAAGUGUGGGGAGCGAACAGGAUUAGAUACCCUUGUAGUC